rnacentral:lncRNA from 1 species
AGUGGUUUGUUGCAUACAUGCCGUUGCAUAGAGUUUAUGCUUGAAAAAUUAAUUUAUUGUCCAAAAUAUGCCUAGGGUUGAUCCCAAUUUCAUCUCCCCAAAAUACCAAAAGUAUUUUGCCAACAUCCUACAAAAAUCUAGCAUGACCUGCUCUCUCUCUCUCCUUGUUUUCUUUCUCGAGCUCUUAGUUAUAUUGGUGUCCAUGAAUUUUUUUUUGGGUCAAUCCAACCUAGUCCAAAUUCUCUCAUUUUCCCAAUGUAUCAUUAACAUCUUUCUCUAGCGUUGGGUCAAGCACAACUCAGCUCAACACACCUCUCUCUCUUUCUCCCAACUCUUAGCUGCCCCUAUCUCCCUCUCUCUUUCACAUCAACAUGCAGCUCUCGCAUACAUGGUGUCACCCUCGUCUUUCCCCCAAUGCAGAAAUAAUAGAAGCACAUAAUGCCUCCUUUAAUCUUUUGGACCAAGCAACAAUAAUCAUUAUAAUUCCACUCUCUAAUUUCCCUUCUUAUCUCAAUAUUGAUAUGCAUUGUAAAGAACAGCUCCUCCAUCACUAGCUACAUCCUUUUGCUGCUCACAUGCCCCUAUUUUGCCCAUGCAAAAUAAACAGCCCUCAAAGCUUGUUACUUCCCCUUAAUUUCAUCUCUAAAUAGUAUGGGUAAACAUUAGGCAUGCUUCAUCCUCUCCCAUUCAUUUCUGCAUGCAUACAUGCAACAUAGAUGCAUUAUUUUCUCUCCUCCCUCUUUUCAUCACGCAGAUUAGAUGGACAUACCUACUAAGUCGGUAUCCCCUCUUAUGCUGUCCCCUUCUCCUCCUUCAUGCAAGAAUUAUAUCUACAUCAAUUCCCUUCUCUUAAUUUCCUGCCUCAUCACAUUUGCAUGCCUCUCUAAUUACAAGAUUAAAAGCUGAUGAACAGCCAUCCCCCCUCCUCUGCUGAACACGCCAAUCCCUUCUCAUGCGAAAAAUACAUGCAUCUCCUCUUUAGCUCUCUUAAUUCCCUAGACAAAACUCUUUUAAGAGUGCUUCUUUAUUCCACCAAUUUAUUAUUUUUUUCUUCAUCUUGCAAGUAUGCAGCAGCACUACUGCAUCAAGAUGUUGCCCCCUCUCCUCUUCUGGUGCCGACCCCUACCUUUUCCUUAAUGCAAACAGCAGCACUUAAUCCAUUGGCUCACCUUCUUUACAUGCCCCUCAUCAAUCUCUCUUAUCUCUCUCCCCCUUAGUGCAUGAGCUUAACAACACAAAAUUUUUAGGCAUCAAUGGCAUGCAGCCAUUUAUCAUCCCUGGACGCCCUACUCUCCCUCAGCUCUUCAUGCAAAAAUAACAACCACAAAUAAUUGUCAUAUCUAAAUUGCUGGACCUAUCUCUCUUUAUUCACCCUCCUAAUCUCUCCCUCUUAUUUUUACAUAGUUACUCAUUUGAAGAGCAUGGCCUGCAUAGCCGGCCUCCACAUUUUCUUUUCUGCUGCUCUCACGCCACUCUCUACACCCCAUGCAAAAAUCAGAUGGAUCAAUUCCUUCAUCUCUUAUUUCACAAGGACCACCUCUCUCAAGAGUGCUCAUUUAGUCCAUUAUUUACUCUCUUAAUUUUUCAAAUGCAUGCAUGCAUUCUUUCACGUGGAGAAGCCUUCCCUCUCCUCUCUAUGGCACUGCCUUCUCUCUUUACACUCACUCAAAAAUACCAUCAGCAUCUGAUUUUUCCUCCCUUAAUUCCCAUGGUCACACAUCCCUCUUUAUUCCUCUAUUGGCAGCACUACUUUACUCCAUUGCUUUCAAUUGCAUGCAUGCACAUAAACAACCAGCCAUACCCCCUCCUCUUUUUCUCACGCAGAAACCAGCAGCACCUCUUUAACUCCUUUUUGAUGGCACCAAUUUUUACUCCAAUUUACUUCACUCCAUUUGCAUGCUCUCAUGCAGCAAACAACAGCUAUAAAACCCCCUCAUCCCCUCCUCUCUCCCUCACGCAAGCACCAGAGAAGGAGCAUCCCAUCUCCUCCCCUCCCUCCAUCAGAUGGGCGCCCCUCAUCCUCUCCUUUUCCCCAUGGCUGCAGCCCCAAAUCCCUCAAAUUCUUCUCCAACAAAAUGGAACCACAUGAUCAAUCAGAGUAUGUUAUGCCGCUGGUUCUAUCUGCUUCUAGGCAUGACAGCAACAAUUGGUGAGAUUUUCUCCUUGUUGUUCAUCUCUUAUAUAUCCCCUUGCUGAUCUCAUCAAAUCACAGGACCUCAAGGAAUUCCUCAUGAUAAUCCCUAAUGUACAGAGAUGAGGUUGUGCUUCCUAUUGAACUCCAUGCAGUGAUAUUCCUCGCUUCUUAUCGUGGUUUGCCGCCGUUGCUACUACUGCUGUGCAGCAUGGUGAGGAGACUCCAACUCCUCCACUCUCACCUACAUGGUCACCCUAUCUUCUUCCUCUAAUUUCCUCUCCUCCCUUUUUAUGAAAUUGCAGUACCCUGGCUGCGAUGAAUCCGUUAUGCCACUGCACAUAUUUUCCCGUCGCUGGAAUCCAGGAAUCAUUUGCAUUGUGCUGCGGUAAGGGUCAUGGUUUUCUCUGUUUUUGCUGAGAAACUCAUGUUCAUCAUGUCCCCUCCUUGUUGUGACCUUUCAAGGAAAUACCAUGCUGCUGCAGUGCUUCAUGGAGGCCAUCUCAAUGUGCCGUGUCGCCUUCCGAAACCAGCAGCACAUCCCAUCGAUUGUCGACUGUUUUGCUGUCCAUUAUUGGCGUUUGUCGCCAUCGAGAUCAUGUCCAGCAACCAUGAACCUCAAUGUGAGCCCCUCUCCCCUGUCCCCAUCUUGUAUACAUAUUCUUUUCCAUAAAUCAUGAGCCAUAGUCCAAGUUUGAUCAAAUUAUGUCAAAAGUUUUCCCGCAAUCGUGUUGCUGUCCUUUUUGGACAGCAGUGCUAUUGCCGGUCAGCGUUCAUGUUCUCCAUUGAUCUGUCAAGCUAAAUGAUGAAUCCUUUGAAUAUAACAUCACUUAUAUAUUUGCAACGUCCCUGCAAAAUUUCAUAGCGAGAGACUUCAAGAUGAAAGAGAUAUAAUCGUCUUUUUAGUGUUUGCUGUCCCUGCUUUUUCAGCAGUGUUGUGCCUCUGUUUGGUAGUGAUGUUCCCAUAAUACAUUAGUCAAAUCAUCAAACCAUUCAUACAGCAUGUGUGUCCUAUCCUUGCACAUGCCUCUGCAAAGUUUCAUGGCUAUAGGAUCAAAUGUGGAAGAGAUAUAAUCCUAUAUUUUGCUCACUGUCCCUGCUGCCCUGCAGCAGAGUUCCAGCUGGUUGGCAUGCAUAUUCCCGAUGUUCCAUCACUCCAGUGACUGUGUCCUUCAACCACAAUGUGUCCUAUAUUGUUGCACAUGCCUCUGAGAAAUUCCGUGGCUAUAGGAUUCUAGAUAAAAGAGAAAUGUUUCUAUCUUGUGCUUGCUGUCCCUGCUGUCCCGCAGCCGCGUUGAGACCAGUUGGCAUGUGUGUUCUCGUUGAAUCACCACUCUAGUGGUCAUGCCCAUUGAUCAUGGUGUAUAUCAAAUAUAUACACACAUCUCUGCAAGGUUUCUUGGUCAUGUGAACCACAACGCCCAAAAUAUAAGCAUCACAGUGUCGCUGCUCCUGUCAUGCCAACAGCCACGCAGUACCAUCUUGAAAUCUCAUUCCUCAGCUAUCAGAUGGUCAAAACAUCAUGUUCUUUUGCCACAACAUACUCCAUACAGUCCACAACAAGCCCACAAAAACGAUCUCAAUUUGGUGCUGCUAAGACCAUGUUCCUUGUAAUCAUAACCACCGCUGUCCGCACUGGGUUUGCUCAACCGGUGCGCAAAUCGUCAUCAUCGUGCUUCCCUUUUAUGUAACAUUUGAUCAGUGCAGCCACUAGUCAUAAUAUGUUCCAUGUAUUCUCUUCACAAAUUUAUAGUCAUCAACAAAUUAUCCAUAGAUCCUUGUGCUCCAUAAACCUUCCAACCACAUUCAUCAUCUUUAUUCCAUUCCUAUCAUUUAUCAAACCUUCCAACUUCUACCUUUGAACAUUCAUGUCUUUUAAACCAUAGCUCUAUUUAGUUGUUUAUGUGCUCAAACAUUCGUAGUUGCAAGCCUUACACGUUUAAAACCUUUGUGUCUUGUUUUAUAAUGCUUGAUGUAUUGUUUUUAGGUUUCUAUUAUGGUGCUUGUACCGGUUGAUUGCUAACGUUAGAAGAGGAUCUCUACAAGGAUGAUCAAGAAGUUGGAUAGCAAGAAUUUGGAAGGCAAGUGUAACAUGAGUACCCUUGUUACCUAAUAACUAUAUAAUCAUCUUUUCAUAUGCAUGUAUCUAAUUUGAUGAACCCCUAAGGACUUUACCUAGAACUAUUGUAUCUUGUAUCCUUGUUUACCCUGGGUUAUGCAUAUGGGUAGUUUUACUUAGUCCGCAAUCACCAAACUGUACAAUAUUAAUACUGAUUAAUGAUUAUGGAAUCAAUAUUAUAAUGAUGCUUUCUAGCAACAUGGAUAUCAGGGGGCAAGAGCAUUGGGCCUUUUGGGUGCUCUAGUCUGCUCUCCGUAAGGACUGAAUCUUAAAGCGGCCACCCAGGAUUUACCUUACAGCCAUGAGAGCUACAUGGCUCUGGCUUUAGCUUAGUAAACUGAACUUCUCUAACUUGUUAGUGGUUACCGAAAGGCGCAAGAGGGGGGUACCUCGUGGUGUAUAGUUGUUUUCCUACCUUGGUGUGUACAGUGCCGCGACCACAUGUGCCUCUUGGAGGAGGACACCUAUGCACACUUGCCAUUGAAACCUAGCGGCUACUAACUUGUUAGGGGGACUUUCGAAAGGCUUCAUAGUGAACCCUGCCGACUUACCUUGGAAGUGGGUCAAGAGGCUGAUCACCUCGGGCAUAUGGGUAACACGACUCAUGGUGAAAGUGUACAAGCUCUGCAGAGUGUUUUAAAACUGAUAUAUCAGUCGUGCUCACGGACACGAGCGGCCUGGAUCCUUUUUGAGAUAGAUGGUCCUGUGGAUGGUUUGGGUGAUCAUUAAUUUUGAUGAUAAUUAUUAUACUUCUCACCUUGGGAGCUUAAGCAUAACCUAGAAACAUAGGUCUAAUAAUAAAAUAUGACCAACUAAAAAUGCUUAUCGCAGUCAAACCAAGUCAAGCCUUUUGAGCCUUGCAUCCCCUCAUGUUAUACUUGUUGAGUAUGGUGCACUCACACUUGCUUUACAUUCAACAAUCAAAAAUCCCGGAUGGGUACCAGAUGGUGAUACAAAGGCGGAGCUCCCUGAGAUGUUCCAGGAGUACUAGGCGAGUGUACCCCCAAUCAACCGUCCCUAUGGAAAAUGGAGACCCAAAGUGAAGAUUAGGAUUAGUUUCCGCUAUGCUUUGUAAUAGAUGUAAGCCAUGUUGUAACUAUGUUUCGAUAUAUAAUAAAGCAUUGUUCUUGAUAUUCUCCAUAUUUGUCGCUAUAUGUGUCGUGUGGACAUCCUGGGCACACAUAUAGUUAGCGCUUGGUAUUCUUUGGAAAACCAGGUGUGACAGAUUGGUAUCAAAGCAAUAUUGACUGUAGGACGCUCAGCCUAGUUAGAAAUGGACGUUUUUACAAACAUAUUUUGAUAAAAACAUAUCCUGGCUUCCUCCUCCAUGAUAUUUUCUAAAAGAAAAACAAAAUUGUUUGCCGAAACCCCUUCUUUCUCCAAAAUCCAUGAAGAUGCCGGUGAAGUUGAAUAUUCUACGUCAAUAAUAAACAUCAUCACCAAAGUUCAGGGGCUCAUGCUUGUCUAUCCUAAUGCCUUUAGGAUGUUGUUAUCCUCAAGCGUCUACGUUAGUAACGAUGCUAAGGUGAGUGAUACUGUGCUAUCAUAAGGACCCUAUCAUGUUAGUGUGAUUUAGAUAGGUUGAUUGUUUUGUCAUGAUGAACUUGUAUGAUUUGGCUAUUUGUAAUGAGUGUAGCUUCAGCGAAUCUCGGGGCGAGAUUCCUAUUAAGGGGGGUAGAGUUGUCACACCCCAAAAUUUCCUACUUUGGAAUGUGACAUAGAAAACAGUAAAAACAAAGCCAAAGGUUUUAUGAUUUAUAAAAACUCCAACUUUAGUUAUGUUGUCAACAUUUUAGAUAGUUGAAAACUGUGGGUUUAAAAUUUUUGAAAUUCAACUUAGUGGUUUGUUGCAUACAUGCCGUUGCAUAGAGUUUAUGCUUGAAAAAUUAAUUUAUUGUCCAAAAUAUGCCUAGGGUUGAUCCCAAUUUCAUCUCCCCAAAAUACCAAAAGUAUUUUGCCAACAUCCUACAAAAAUCUAGCAUGACCUGCUCUCUCUCUCCUUGGUUUCUUUCUCGAGCUCUUAGUUAUAUUGGUGUCCAUGAAUUUUUUUGGGUCAAUCCAACCUAGUCCAAAUUCUCUCAUUUUCCCAAUGUAUCAUUAACAUCUUUCUCUAGCGUUGGGUCAAGCACAACUCAGCUCAACACACCUCUCUCUCUUUCUCCCAACUCUUAGCUGCCCCUAUCUCCCUCUCUCUUUCACAUCAACAUGCAGCUCUCGCAUACAUGGUGUCACCCUCGUCUUUCCCCCAAUGCAGAAAUAAUAGAAGCACAUAAUGCCUCCUUUAAUCUUUUGGACCAAGCAACAAUAAUCAUUAUAAUUCCACUCUCUAAUUUCCUUUCUUAUCUCAAUAUUGAUAUGCAUUGUAAAGAGCAGCUCCUCCAUCACUAGCUACAUCCUUUUGCUGCUCACAUGCCCCUAUUUUGCCCAUGCAAAAUAAACAGCCCUCAAAGCUUGUUACUUCCCCUUAAUUUCCUCUCUAAAUAGUAUGGGUAAACAUUAGGCAUGCUUCAUCCUCUCCCAUUCAUUUCUGCAUGCAUACAUGCAACAUAGAUGCAUUAUUUUCUCUCCUCCCUCUUUUCAUCACGCAGAUUAGAUGGACACACCUACUAAAUCGGUAUCCUCUCUUAUGCUGUCCCCUUCUCCUCCUUCAUGCAAGAAUUAUAUCUAUAUCAAUUCCCUUCUCUUAAUUUCCUGCCUCAUCACAUUUGCAUGCCUCUCUAAUUACAAGAUUAAAAGCUGAUGAACAACCAUCCCUCCUCCUCUGCUGAACACGCCAAUCCCUUCUCAUGCAUAAAAUACAUGCAUCUCCUCUUUAGCUCUCUUAAUUCCCUAGACAAAACUCUCUUAAGAGUGCUUCUUUAUUCCACCAAUUUAUUAUUUUUUUCUUCAUCUUGCAAGUAUGCAGCAGCACUACUGCAUCAAGAUGUUGCCCCCUCUCCUCUUCUGGUGCCGACCCCUACCUUUUCCUUAAUGCAAACAGCAGCACUUAAUCCAUUGGCUCACCUUCUUUACAUGCCCCUCAUCAAUCUCUCUUAUCUCUCUCCCCCUUAGUGCAUGAGCUUAACAACACAAAUGUUUUAGGCAUCAAUGGCAUGCAGCCAUUUAUCAUCCCUGGACGCCCUACUCUCCCUCAGCUCUUCAUGCAAAAAUAACAACCACAAAUAAUUGUCAUCUCUAAAUUGCUGGACCUAUCUCUCUUUAUUCACCCUCCUAAUCUCUCCCUCUUAUUUUUACAUAGUUACUCAUUUGAAGAGCAUGGCCUGCAUAGCCGGCCUCCACAUUUUCUUUUCUGCUGCUCUCAAGCCACUCUCUACACCCCAUGCAAAAAUCAGAUGGAUCAAUUCCUUCAUCUCUUAUUUCACAAGGACCACCUCUCUCAAGAGUGCUCAUUUAGUCCAUUAUUUACUCUCUUAAUUUUUCAAAUGCAUGCAUGCAUUCUUUCACAUGGAGAAGCCUUCCCUCUCCUCUCUAUGGCACUGCCUCCUCUCUUUACUCUCACUCAAAAAUACCAUCAGCAUCUGAUUUUUCCUCCCUUAAUUCCCAUGGUCACACAUCCCUCUUUAUUCCUCUAUUGGCAGCACUACUUUACUCCAUUGCUUUCAAUUGCAUGCAUGCACAUAAACAACCAGCCAUACCCCCUCCUCUUUUUCUCACGCAGAAACCAGCAGCACCUCUUUAACUCCUUUUUGAUGGCACCAAUUUUUACUCCAAUUUACUUCACUCCAUUUGCAUGCUCUCAUGCAGCAAACAACAGCUAUAAAACCCCCUCAUCCCCUCCUCUCUCCCUCACGCAAGCACCAGAGAAGGAGCAUCCCAUCUCCUCCCCUCCCUCCAUCAGAUGGGCGCCCCUCAUCCUCUCCUUUUCCCCAUGGCUGCAGCCCCAAAUCCCUCAAAUUCUUCUCCAACAAAAUGGAACCACAUGAUCAAUCAGAGUAUGUUAUGCCGCUGGUUCUAUCUGCUUCUAGGCAUGACAGCAACAAUUGGUGAGAUUUUCUCCUUGUUGUUCAUCUCUUAUAUAUCCCCU